rnacentral:rRNA from 1 species
UACGUAGGGUGCGAGCGUUAAUCGGAAUUACUGGGCGUAAAAGCGUGCGCAGGCGGCGCCGCAAGUCGAGUGUGAAAAUCCCCCGAGCUUAAACUUGGGGAAUUUGCGCUCGAAAACUACGGUGCUGGAGUGUGGCAGAGGGAGGUGGAAUUCCACGUGUAGCGGUGAAAUGCGUAGAGAUGUGGAGGAACACCGAUGGCGAAGGCAGCCUCCUGGGCCAACACUGACGCUCAUGCACGAAAGCGUGGGGAGCAAACAGG